rnacentral:lncRNA from 1 species
CAAUUUCUUAAUCCAGAACGGGGAUCCAGUUGAACUCAAUGAGAACAAUGAGGAUCCGAUCACCUAUAUGGAUGCAAUGUAGAGGUCUGACUUCGAUAAGUGGCUGAAAAUUAUGAAAUUCAAAAUGAAAUCCAUGAAAAUCAACAAUGUAUGGACAUUAGUUGACCCACCUGAAGGGAUAAAAUUCAUAGGGUGUAAGUGGAUCUUCAAAAAGAAAAGGGGCACAGAC